rnacentral:RNase_P_RNA from 1 species
GCUGGGUGACCGCGAGGGGCCUUUGGGCGCCUCGAGGAAAGUCCGGACUCCACAAGACAACGGUGCCGGGUAACGCCCGGGCAGGGCAACCUGACGGAAAGUGCCACAGAGAAGAGACCGCUUUCUCACGGGGAAGUAAGGGUGAAACGGUGGGGUAAGAGCCCACCGGGGGGCUGGCAACAGACCUCGCAUGGCAAACCCCACUGGGAGCAAUGCCGAAUAGGAACCUCGCUAUAAGCCGUCUUGGCUUUGAGGUUCGGGUUGGCAGCUAGAGAGGCGUUGGUAACAGCGCCUUAAGAUGAAUGGUCAUCCAGAGCGGGGCAACCUGCUUGGACAAGAUCCGGCUUAUAGGCCUUCC